GAUUGUUGGAAAAAAAUUAUGUGAAUGGUUUAGAAGUCCUCUAAUGUUGUUAGUAUGGAUUUGGGUUAAUAAUCGAAUGUACGAACGAUAUUGUGGCUUGAAAGUAAGCCGUUGAAACGAAUAUUUGGAAAGUUGUUGAAAGAUGUAAAAGAGAGCUAUUAAUGUUGUUUUGCCUUUCGAAUUGAUUAUUGAUGUUGCUAGGUUGGUUAUUGUGGUUGUUGUUGAUUUUGAGCGAGAUAAAUUCUCGGGAUGGCCUAUUUAUAGGGGAAGUGCUGCCGAAUUUUCUGUAGAAUUUAAUGAUUAGUUGGAAAGAAUGGCUCAAGUGUCCUUAACUAAUGUUUGGUAUUCGUUGGCGUAUUUGUAGACCUUGGGGAGCCCGAGGCGUAGAUUGGAAAUUUACUUUAGAUUGGCUAUUUUGGAAGUGCGUAAGAGGUACAGACGCACAGCCUGGUGAUCCACCUGUUUAGGACACCCUUUCUGCUAUUCGGAGUGCUCCUCUCUUUCCGGAGCUUAUACUUUUGGUAUAUAUAUUUUUAUUAGUGCAUUUGUAUAUAUUCGUUCAUGGGUACGGCGGGGGCCCUGUCCCGUCAUAUGAUUCUGUCGGUCUGUUUAGAGGUCUGUGGACAUGUUUGUGGGUUAGGGUCUU